rnacentral:rRNA from 1 species
AACGAACGCUGGCGGCAUGCCUAAUACAUGCAAGUCGAACGCGAUCUUCGGAUCUAGUGGCGCACGGGUGCGUAACGCGUGGGAAUCUGCCCUUUGGUUCGGAAUAACAUCUGGAAACGGAUGCUAAUACCGGAUGAUGACGUAAGUCCCAAGAUUUAACGCCCAAGGAUGAGCCCGCGUGGGAUUAGCUAGUUGGUGAGGUAAAGGCUCAGCACGGCGACGAUCCUUAGCUGGUCUGAGAGGAUGAUCAGCCACACUGGGACUGAGACACGGCCCAGACUCCUGCGGGAGGCAGCAGUAGGGAAUAUUGGACAAUGGGGGCAACCCUGAACCGGCAAUGCCGCGUGGGUGAUGAAGGCCUUAGGGUUGUAAAGCUCUUUUACCCGGGAUGAUAAUGACAGUACCGGGAGAAUAAGCCCCGUCUAACUCCGUGCCAGCCGCCGCCGUAAUAC